GACGAACGCUGGCGGCGUGCUUAACACAUGCAAGUCGAGCGGAGCGGCUAACGGGUGAGUAACGCGUGAGUAACUGACCCCCUCUCUGGGAUAACAGUUGGAAACGGCUGCUAAUACCGGAUAGUGGGGGAUGACUCGCGUCCUAUCAGCUUAUUGGUGGGGUAGUGGCCUACCAAGGAGACGACGGGUCGCCGGCCUGCGAGGUGGACCGGCCACAUUGGGCUGAGAUACGGCCCAAACUCCUACGGUAGGCAGCAGUGGGGAAUAUUGCACAAUGGGGGAAACCCUGAUGCAUCAACGCCGCGUGCGGGAUGACGGCCUUCGGGGUGUAAACCGCUUGCAGCCAUGACGCGGUAGUGGCAGAAGAAGCACCGGCUAACUACGUGCCAGCAGCCGCGGUAAUUC
rnacentral:rRNA from 1 species